AUUGAACGCUGGCGGCAUGCUUUACACAUGCAAGUCGAACGGUAACAGGUCUUCGGAUGCUGACGAGUGGCGAACGGGUGAGUAAUGCAUCGGAACGUGCCCAGUCGUGGGGGCUAACGCAGCGAAAGCUGCGCUAAUACCGCAUACGAUCCAGGGAUGAAAGCGGGGGACCGUAAGGCCCCGCGCGAUUGGAGCGGCCGAUGUCAGAUUAGGUAGUUGGUGGGGUAAAGGCCCACCAAGCCAACGAUCUGUAGCUGGUCUGAGAGGACGACCAGCCACACUGGGGCUGAGCCACGGCCCAGACUCCUACGGGAGGCAGCAGUGGGGAAUUUUGGACAAUGGGCGCAAGCCUGAUCCAGCAAUGCCGCGUGCAGGAAGAAGGCCUUCGGGUUGUAAACUGCUUUUGUACGGAACGAAACGGCUCUCUCUACUACAGAGGGCUAAUGACGGUACCGUAAGAAUAAGCACCGGCUAACUACGUGCCAGCCGCCGCGGUAAAAC
rnacentral:rRNA from 1 species